rnacentral:rRNA from 1 species
GAUGAACGCUGGCGGCGUGCCUAAUACAUGCAAGUCGAACGCAGUGGGGACGGGUGAGUAACACGUGGGUAACCUCCCAUCAGAGGGGAUAACACUUGGAAACAGGUGCUAAACCGAUACUGAUGGAUGGACCCGCGGUGCAUUAGCUAGUUGGUGAGGUAACGUAUCACCCAGGCAACGAUGCAUAGCCGACCAGAGAGGCGGAGCGCCCACACUGAGACUGAGACACGGCCCAGAACACUACGGGAGGCAGCAGUGGGGAAUCUUCGGCAAUGGACGAAAGUCUGACCGAGCAGCGCCGCGUGAGUGAAGAAGGUUUUCGGAUCGUAAAACUCUGUUGUUAGAGAAGCGGUAUCUAACCAGAAAGCCACGGCUAACUACGUGCAAGCAGCCGCGGUAAUUC